rnacentral:rRNA from 1 species
UAAGUCUCAGUUCGGACUGUAGGCUGCAACUCGCCUACACGAAGUUGGAAUUGCUAGUAAUCGUGGAUCAGCAUGCCACGGUGAAUACGUUCCCGGGUCUUGUACACACCGCCCGUCACACCAUGGGAGCUGGUAACACCCGAAGUCAGUAGUCUAACCGCAAGGAGGACGCUGCCGAAGGUGGGAUUAGCGACUGGGGUGAAGUCGUAACAAGGUAUC